rnacentral:rRNA from 1 species
UUGGAUUGUUCACCCACAAAUAGGGAACGUGAGCUGAGUUUAGACCAUCGUGAGAGAGGUUAGUUUUACCUUACUGAUGACAGUGUCGCAAUAGUAAUUAGACCUAGUAAGAGAGGAACCGUUAAUUCACAUAAUUUGUCAUCCCGCUUGGUUGAAAAGCCAGUGGCACGAAGCUAUCGUGUGCUCGAUUAUGACUGAACGUCUCUAAGUCAGAAUCCAGGCAAGAAGCGACGCAUGCGCCCGCUGUCCGCUUGCCGACCCGCAGUAGGGGCCUUUAGCACCCAAGGGAUCGUUUUGUUGGCUAAGUCACCGCGAUGGAAGCGUCGCGGUGACUUCGUUGAAGUACAAUUUCCAUCGAACGGUGGGUAGUAUCCUUUGCAGAAGACAUUAAUACACGACGGGGUAUUGUAAGUGGAAGAGUAGCCUUGCUGCCACGAUCCACUGAGAUACAACCCUUUGUCACUUCGAUUCGUCCUCCCCACCUUCCCCCUCCCCUAACCUCAAAUCCAAUUAUUUCUAACAUUUCAAAUGAGAGGUUUAUGUCAGGCUUGCAUACUUGGAAGGAAAAAACCCACUAACUGUUGAAAUAUAAGUUCCGAGAAUAACAUGGUCCAUGAAAUUUACUACUCUACUGCUAUGUGUUGAACUAUACGUUCUAUGCUGAUCAAACACUUGUUCAAUAGCGAUGACGUAUUGCGAGGUUUUUCGUGACGAUGGGUUUAUUUUUCAUGUCUAAUGACAUGUUAAGGGACUAAUAAAUAUGUCGCUAUAAGAGGUUUUUCGCGAUGUCAGGGGCGAUUCUAAAUCCAAGUAAGAUGUCAAGGGCAAUAUAUGUCUAUGUAGGCAGCACGGGCAUUCCAUGUCUGGGGACAGGCGAGAUCAGCCAAAUUCUGCACGCAUCGGACAGGCGACGUAGGCCAACGACAUACGACAUCAGUCCAUGCCAACACGCAUAGGAAGCGGCAUGUGCGUAUCGGUCAAGCAACGUCGGCGAAACGGCAGAUAGCAAUCAGCGAAGGCCUGCAUGCAUCAGAUGUGUCAUGUGUGCAUCAUGCAAGAAACGUCGGUCAACGGCAAAACCUUGGGCAUGACCCUGGGCGGAGCAGCUGUUAGUGCAGAUUUUGGUGGUAGUAGCAAAUAUUCAAAUGAGAACUUUGAAGGGUGAAAAGGGGAAAGGUUCAAUGUGAAUGGCACUAGCACAUGGGUUAGUCGAUCCUAUGGGUCGAGGGAACCCAAACAGAUAAUGCAUUUCGCGCGUACCCCGGAAGGGAAUCGGGUUAAGAUUCCUGAAUCGGGACGUGAAGGUUCACGACAAUGUUAGAAAGUCGGCAGAUGUCGGUGGGAGCCUCGGAAAGAGUUGUCUUUUCUGUUUAACAGCAUGCCCACCAUGGAAUCGGCUCUGCCGGAGGUAGGGUCCAACGGCUGGAAGAGCACCACACGUCGCGUGGUGUCCGGUGCACUCCCGGCGACCCUUUAAAAUCCAGAGGACCGAAUGUUGUCCACGCUUGGUCGUACUCAUAACCGCAUCAGGUCUCCAAAGUGAACAACCUCUAGUUGAUGGAACAAUGUAGGCAAGGAAAGUCGGCAAAAUGGAUCCGUAACUUCGGGAAAAGAAUUGGCUUUGAGGGUUUGGCAUGGGGGUCCCAGUCCCGAACCCACUGGCUGUCGGUGGACUGCUUGAGCGGAUCCCACAGAAAUAGCGGGUCACCGUGUGCCGACCGUGGGACGGACUGGAAAAGGUUCUUUCGGGGGCCUUCCCCGGGAGUCAAACAACCAACUCAGAACUGGUAUAGACAAGGGGAAUUCGACUAUUUAAUUUGAACAAAGCAUUGCGAUGGUCCCAACAAAUGUUUACGCAAAGUUAUUUUUGUCCGGUGCUCUAAAUGUCAAAGUGAAGAAAUUCAACCAUGCGGGGGUAAACGACCGGAGUAACUAUGACUCUCUUAAGGUAGCCAAAUGCCUCGUCAUCUUAUUAGUGAUGCGUAUGAAUGUAUUAAGAAGAUUCCCACUGUCCUUGUCUAAUAUACAGUUAAACCACAGCCAAGGGAACAGGCUUGGCAGAAUCAGCGGGGAAAGAAGACCCUACUGAGCUUGAGUCUAGUCCGACUUUGUGAAAUGACUUCAGAGGUGUAGUAUAAUUGGGAGUCGAAAGGUGAAAGUGAAAUACCAAAACUUUUAACGUUAUUUUACUUAUUCCGUGAAUCGGAAGCGGGGAACUACCCCUAUUUUUGGACCCAAGGCUCGCUUCGCGGGCCGAUCCGGGGGGAAGACAAUGUCAGGUGGGGAGUUUUGCUGGGGCGACACAUCUGUUAAAAGAUAACGCAGGUGUCCUAAGAUGAGCUCAACGAGAAUUGAAAAAUCGUGUGGGUCAGAAGGAUAAAAGCUCGUUUGAUUCUGAUUUCCAGUACGAAUACGAAUCGUUAAAGCGUGGCCUAACGAUCCAUUAGACCUUAGGAAUUCUAAGCUAGAGGUGUCAGAAAAGUUACCACAAGGAUAACUAGCUUGUGACAGCCAAGCUAUAUAGCGAAGUUUAUAUUUGAUCAUUCGAUAUCGGCACUUCCUAUCAUUGUGAAGCGAAAUUCACCAAGUGUUGGAUUGUUCACCCACCAAUAGGGAACGUGAGCUGGGUUUAGACCGUCGUGAGACAGGUUAGUUUUACCCUACUGAUGACAGCCAAGCGUUCAUAGCGACGUUGCUUUUUGAUCCUUCGAUGUCGGCUCUUCCUAUCAUUGUGAAGCAGAAUUCACCAAGUGUUGGAUUGUUCACCCACCAAGUGUUGGAUUUUUCACCGUUGAUUCACAUAAUUGGUCAUCGCGCUUGGUUGAAAAGCCAGUGGCGCGAAGCUACCAUGUGUUGGAUUAUGAAUGAACGCCUCUAAGUUAGAAUCCAGGCAAGAAGCGAUGCAUGCGCCCACCAUUGGCUUGCCGACCCGCAAUA